rnacentral:piRNA from 2 species
CUCUCACCGCCGCGGCCCGGGUU